GCCCGGCUGGCUCAAUGGACAGAGCGCCGGACUUCUAAUCCGGAGGUUGCGGGUUCAAGUCCCGCGUCGGGUG